AGUUAAAAACUUUAAGAAAGUUACAUGUUUUGAAAACAUGUAUAAAGGAGUUUAAAUCUUCUAUUAACUU
rnacentral:tRNA from 1 species